rnacentral:rRNA from 1 species
GUAUCUGAAAUCAAGCAGGAGCACCCGCUGAACUUAAGCAUAUCAGUAAGCGGAGGAAAAGAAACUGAAGAGGAUUCCCUCAGUAGCGGCGAGUGAACCGGGAAAAGCUCAAAAUGAAAAUCCUGCGCACAGAGCGUCGGAAUUGUAAUCUAGAGAUCUGAUGCGAAGGCAUAGGCAGCUUAUAAGUUUCUUGGAACAGGACGCCAAAGAGGGUGAUAGCCCCGUUCUAAGCUGUCUGGCCGUAGCAAAGGAAUCGAAGAGUCGGCUAGUUUGGGACUGCUGGCCUAAUUGGGAGAUAAACUUCUUCUAAAGCUAAAUAUUUAUGGGAAACCGAUAGCGAAGNAGUACUNNGAAGGAAAGA